AGUGAACGCUGGCGGUAGGCCUAACACAUGCAAGUCGAACGGCAGCACAGUAAGAGCUUGCUCUUACGGGUGGCGAGUGGCGGACAGGUGAGGAAUACAUCGGGAUCUACUUUUUCGUGGGGGAUAACGUAGGGAAACUUACGCUAAUACCGCAUACGACCUACGGGUGAAAGCAGGGGAUCUUCGGACCUUGCGCGAUUGAAUGAGCCGAUGUCGGAUUAGCUAGUUGGCGGGGUAAAGGCCCACCAAGGCGACGAUCCGUAGCUGGUCUGAGAGGAUGAUCAGCCACACUGGAACUGAGACACGGUCCAGACUCCUACGGGAGGCAGCAGUGGGGAAUAUUGGACAAUGGGCGCAAGCCUGAUCCAGCCAUACCGCGUGGGUGAAGAAGGCCUUCGGGUUGUAAAGCCCUUUUGUUGGGAAAGAAAAGCAGCAGGUUAAUACCCCGCUGUUCUGACGGUACCCAAAGAAUAAGCACCGGCUAACUUCGUG
rnacentral:rRNA from 1 species